rnacentral:tRNA from 1 species
GUGCCGGUGGUGUAAGGCGAACAUCGCUGCCCGGAAAGAAGAAGAUGAGGGUUCGAGUCCCACCUGGCGCA